CUCUGCUCUGGAGCCACCAUGUGAUCCCAGCAAGAGAAGAUGCCAGCAGCCGCAGGCAUCCUCUAAGAUAAGUCUUUUAAAAUAUAUAGAUUACGGUUACCAUUGAUAAUUAAGACUGAGCUAGCAAUUUGUACCUAAUAUAAGUCUCUGUGUGUUACUUGGGACCUUAACAUGGCAUCGGGUGGAACUCGGGCGGACUGGCAGAAAGCGCCUACAUGGAAGCAGGGCUUGGGCAGCUUGUAGUAAAGACUUAUUGUUACAAGUUCUACAUCUGGAUCUGCAGGCAGCAGGAAGAGAGACACUCGGCCUGGCUUAAGCUUCGGAAACCUCAAAGUUCACCUCCCCCCCAGUGACACACUUCUGCAAACAAGGUCACAUCUAUUCAAACAAGGCCACACCUCCUAAUGAUAUCACUGCUAUGAGCCUAUGGGGGGCAUUUUUAUUCAAACUACUAUGCCCUAUAAUUGUUUUUACGUAGAGAAAUGUGUUCUAUUUAUAAGAAACACAUUUGAGAUAAAGCAGGGUAAGAUGGUAAAAGUGAAGGCAAAUACCAACCCCAGGCUGUGAUGGAAUCUUUUUUUUUUUUUUUCUUUUCUGUCCAUUGAUGGAUGAAGUUAGACUUUUCCAGCCUGCAUUGUUCAGGAAUGGAUGAAAUUGAGUUACAUCCUAAACUGACAUGCAGAGCUAAUGUUGUCAUUGUCAUCUGCCUUGCAGAGAAAAUGUUUGUUGUAUAAUUGAGAUUGUCUUCAUACAAGCAUGCUCAGCCGUGUGUAAACAGUAUCUGAACCUUGGACUGUCAUUCAUCUCCAGUGAAUUAUAUGCAUCACAACUGGGACAUGGCACUGAGUUAAUCUAAACUUGUAUUCUGUGUGCGCCAUAAAGUAGGGCUCUGAAAUGGUAUUAUGAUGCACUAUUGAAAGCAAGAGAAGCUGUUCAUACAGCCGAGAUCGGAAGCUUACCAGCUCUGCUGCAGUCUCAGACAAUGAAAUGACAGCAGAUGCAUGCUGGCAAACACAGCAGAAAAGGACACCAGGUUUUGAAGCCAGUAGAGACUAAUCAGCUUUGUAUGUGGCUGUCACACAGUGUCAGCUAAGAAGACAAAGUAAACAACAUAGAACCGCUGAUGUUCUAGCUGAAGCAGAGAAGCUAAUGAUAAAGCAGGCUGGAAGUGUUGGGAAAGCAAAAGUUAAUUCUACAAUUUUUCUGCUGAUUCCUGCCCACAUAUAGAUUUUGUAGGUGUGACAUCGCAGCCCACACAGCCCACCUGCUCCAGUC
rnacentral:lncRNA from 1 species